AAAUCUCUUUCAGGUUCAAGAUGUCUGUUUGGAUCAACCUUUUAAUUAAAGUAAUCUCAUUGUUCUAUAUUCAUCUCUCAAUCCGUAAUUCCCCACUUCUACAAAGAAUCUAAUUAUAUAAAGAAGAGUUGAUUCUCUCCUGGUGAAGCCACAUGGGAUUCCAUGUCACAAAUUCGAGUUCUGUGCGGUUGACACGUGUCCAGUUUUAUCAAAACGCAGUGAUUCAUUAACUUGGAAAUCAGAUGGGCUUUGUCUAAAGAUUGGGCUUAAGUUCGUUCUUUGUUUUCGGCCAUGCUACCACCUUACUGCGCAAACCCUAAUCUGUGGUGAUGAACAGGUGUGUUCUUAGCGGAGACGGUGCCGGUCGAGUGUCCUACCCGUUUCUGUACGUCUUUUUUACGUCUUUAAUCCCAUUAAUUCAGACGCCAACUACGAGAUCUUCAUUUCCGUAGUUUCCGUCGGCAGUAUCGGUUAUAAAUAUGUUAGUAUGUCUCUUCUGGGAAUCGCGAUCUCCAAAAUACUCAUCUAGAUAUCGAUUGCUCAUGGUGGACGUUAAGUCGAGUUGCUUUCUCAACAAUUGCUUCCUUCAGCAUCUGGUUUAGGAAGGUCAAGCAGAAGACCAUCAGAUUCCCAAUGUUCAAGAACGGUGAAUCAAGCUUGCUAAAUGUAUGGUAAUUAUUCAAACAAUUGCAGACAUGAUUCUAAGUUUUUAUUUUAUGGUAGACGUUAUUUUAGUGAUUGGAGUUUAUAACUGAUUUUUCUGAAGUUUAUAACUUCGUUUGGAGUAUCUUCGAUCCUCACAGUAAAGGCUGCAUGCAAAAGCUCAAGGAAAUGGAUCCUUUAAAUUUUGAAACUGUUAGAACCUGUUGUACCUUGCGGCCUCACCUGUUGGAAAGACGAUUGUAACUGAAGGAGGAGAUGCGACCUUAAGGUUCUGGAAUGUCUUACCAUCCCUGAAAUCUCAGUAUUAGGUGGGAUCUGUGCUGAGCGUAGUCUGCUGGGUGUGACUAGAUGUGCAACUAUGCUUGAAGAAAGAGUUAGAUCCUAUGCAAACCACCAAAACCAGGAUUCACUUCAACUGGUAUUAUUAUACUUUUGUUAACUUAUAGUAGAUAAUUAGCCGAAUUCCUUUCGUAGUUUCCUCAAGCUUUUAUUAUAUGGGAAUCAUACUUAUUGUUUUUGUAUCUUCAUAUAGCUGCUGUAAUGAGUUCCAUUAUCAUUUUUAGUCUGUUACUUUUCAUGCUAUUCAAUUACUGAGAGUCAUUGGCUAAGA